UACGUAGGGUGCAAGCGUUAAUCGGAAUCACUGGGCGUAAAGGGCGUGUAGGCGGGAAGGAAAGUCAGAUGUGAAAUCCCUGGGCUCAACCCAGGAACUGCAUUUGAAACUCCCUUUCUUGAGUGUCGGAGAGGAAAGUGGAAUUCCUGGUGUAGAGGUGAAAUUCGUAGAUAUCAGGAGGAACACCGGUGGCGAAGGCGGCUUUCUGGACGACAACUGACGCUGAGACGCGAAAGCGUGGGGAGCAAACAGG
rnacentral:rRNA from 1 species